rnacentral:rRNA from 1 species
UACGGAGGGUGCAAGCGUUAAUCGGAAUUACUGGGCGUAAAGCGAGCGCAGGCGGUUUGUUAAGUCAGAUGUGAAAUCCCCGGGCUCAACCUGGGAAUGGCAUUUGAAACUGGCAAACUUGAGUGUAGAAGAGGGGGGUAGAAUUCCAGGUGUAGCGGUGAAAUGCGUAGAGAUGUGGAGGAAUACCGGUGGCGAAGGCGGCCCCCUGGACGAAGACUGACGCUCAGGCGCGAAAGCGUGGGGAGCAAACAGG